CUGUGUGUUGUUGGGUAGGGGAGCGUUCUGUAAGCCUGUGAAGGUGUGUCGUGAGGCAUGCUGGAGGUAUCAGAAGUGCGAAUGCUGACAUAAGUAACGAUAAAGCGGGUGAAAAGCCCGCUCGCCGGAAGACCAAGGGUUCCUGUCCAACGUUAAUCGGGGCAGGGUGAGUCGACCCCUAAGGCGAGGCCGAAAGGCGUAGUCGAUGGGAAACGGGUUAAUAUUCCCGUACUUGGUGUUACUGCGAAGGGGGGACGGAGAAGGCUAUGUUGGCCGGGCGACGGUUGUCCCGGUUUAAGCGUGUAGGUGUGUGUUCCAGGUAAAUCCGGUUCACUUUAACACUGAGGCGUGACGACGAGGCACUACGGUGCUGAAGCAACAAAUGCCCUGCUUCCAGGAAAAGCCUCUAAGCAUCAGGUAACAUCAAAUCGUACCCCAAACCGACACAGGUGGUCAGGUAGAGAAUACCAAGGCGCUUGAGAGAACUCGGGUGAAGGAACUAGGCAAAAUGGUGCCGUAACUUCGGGAGAAGGCACGCUGACACGUAGGUGAAGUGAUUUACUCAUGGAGCUGAAGUCAGUCGAAGAUACCAGCUGGCUGCAACUGUUUAUUAAAAACACAGCACUGUGCAAACACGAAAGUGGACGUAUACGGUGUGACGCCUGCCCGGUGCCGGAAGGUUAAUUGAUGGGGUCAGCGCAAGCGAAGCUCCUGAUCGAAGCCCCGGUAAACGGCGGCCGUAACUAUAACGGUCCUAAGGUAGCGAAAUUCCUUGUCGGGUAAGUUCCGACCUGCACGAAUGGCGUAAUGAUGGCCAGGCUGUCUCCACCCGAGACUCAGUGAAAUUGAACUCGCUGUGAAGAUGCAGUGUACCCGCGGCAAGACGGAAAGACCCCGUGAACCUUUACUAUAGCUUGACACUGAACAUUGAGCCUUGAUGUGUAGGAUAGGUGGGAGGCUUUGAAGUGUGGACGCCAGUCUGCAUGGAGCCGACCUUGAAAUACCACCCUUUAAUGUUUGAUGUUCUAACGUGGACCCGUUACCCGGGUUGCGGACAGUGUCUGGUGGGUAGUUUGACUGGGGCGGUCUCCUCCUAAAGAGUAACGGAGGAGCACGAAGGUUGGCUAAUCCUGGUCGGACAUCAGGAGGUUAGUGCAAUGGCAUAAGCCAGCUUGACUGCGAGCGUGACGGCGCGAGCAGGUGCGAAAGCAGGUCAUAGUGAUCCGGUGGUUCUGAAUGGAAGGGCCAUCGCUCAACGGAUAAAAGGUACUCCGGGGAUAACAGGCUGAUACCGCCCAAGAGUUCAUAUCGACGGCGGUGUUUGGCACCUCGAUGUCGGCUCAUCACAUCCUGGGGCUGAAGUAGGUCCCAAGGGUAUGGCUGUUCGCCAUUUAAAGUGGUACGCGAGCUGGGUUUAGAACGUCGUGAGACAGUUCGGUCCCUAUCUGCCGUGGGCGCUGGAGAACUGAGGGGGGCUGCUCCUAGUACGAGAGGACCGGAGUGGACGCAUCACUGGUGUUCGGGUUGUCAUGCCAAUGGCACUGCCCGGUAGCUAAAUGCGGAAGAGAUAAGUGCUGAAAGCAUCUAAGCACGAAACUUGCCCCGAGAUGAGUUCUCCCUGAGACUUAGAGUCU
rnacentral:rRNA from 1 species